rnacentral:rRNA from 1 species
AUUGAACGCUAGCGGCAUGCUUUACACAUGCAAGUCGAACGAGUGGCGGACGGGUGAGUAAUAUAUCGGAACGUGCCCAGUAGCGGGGGAUAACUACUCGAAAGAGUGGCUAAUACCGCAUACUAUCGGAGCGGCCGAUAUGGGAUUAGCUAGUAGGUGGGGUAAAGGCUCACCAAGGCAACGAUCCGUAGCUGGUCUGAGAGGACGACCGGCCACACUGGGACUGAGACACGGCCCAGACUCCUACGGGAGGCAGCAGUGGGGAAUUUUGGACAAUGGGGGAAACCCUGAGCCAGCCAUGCCGCGUGUAUGAGAAGGCCUUCGGGUUGUAAAGUACUUUGGGCAGGGAAGCGGUAUCUGCAGAAUAAGCACCGGCUAACUACGUGCCAGCAGCCGCGGUAAUAC